GACGAACGCUGGCGGCGUGCUUAACACAUGCAAGUCGAGCGGUAAGGCCCUUUCGGGGUACGACGAGCGGCGAACGGGUGAGUAACACGUGGGUGACCUGCCUUCAGCUCUGGGAUAAGCCUGGGAAACGUAGGGUCGUAAUACCGGAUAUGACUCCAUGAUGCAUGUUGUGGGGUGGAAAGCUUUUGCGGCUGGAGAUGGGCCCGCGGCCUAUCAGCUUGUUGGUGGGGUGAUGGCCUACCAAGGCGACGACGGGUAGCCGGCCUGAGAGGGCGACCGGCCACACUGGGACUGAGACACGGCCCAGACUCCUACGGGAGGCAGCAGUGGGGAAUCUUGCGCAAUGGGCGAAAGCCUGACGCAGCGACGCCGCGUGAGGGAUGACGGCCU
rnacentral:rRNA from 1 species